GAGUUUCUUCCUCUCAUCGGAGAAUUCUGGCUUCUCCAUUUCUGACAAGAUGAUUCAAAGCAAAAGUGGACUUGUCAGAGACAGGAAGGGAAGAUAAGAUAAAAAUAAAAAGUUAGCCAGACUUAGAAGUUUUUCUGGCCUUAGUUCCUGCUCUCUCUCUCCCCUCCAACAUUUGCAUUCUUGCAAACAAAAAUCCCACAGCAAAGCCCAGAAGGGGGGCCCAGGCCUUAGGCUCCAGGUCAAGGCCUGAGGGCAGUGGAGGAAGUGAUUCAGGGCCCCCCGGGGGAUGGAGGAGCUGGAGGCUGGGGCCAGGACACAGGGCUGCGGGCAGCGGGUCAGCCUCAGUCCGGCUCGCAGUGCCCCUGCCCCCAUUCACCCACAGGCAGGCCAGCCCGGAGCCAGAGACGGGUGACUGAUGGGUCCCAGCUUGAAUGGAAAGUCCAGAUUCCAGGGAGACAGCCUAAGAGGGUCAUCGGAGCAGAUAGAGAUCAGACUCCUGUUGCAGGGGGAGUUCUCUGAGCUGCUGUGGCAGAGGCUUGGAGGACAUUCAAUGCUGGACUCUUAUUCUUGGAUGGAUUUACUUUGGAGAAUAACCUCAUCCACCUCUGAGAGAGGAAGCACCAGCCCAUUACUGUCCCACUGUGAAUGACCCUAAGGGUUGUUUCCUAGUUUAUCUGGACCAGAAGCACACAGAAUCUUGACUGUACCUUCAACAGUUAGGAAAAAACAAAACAAAACAAAACAAACAAACAAACAAAAAAAACAAGCAUGGAAAACAAGCUCUCAAAGGAAGUAUGAAUGAGAACUUUAAGUGUCAACAUCAUCCUUUAAUCAAUGUUGAAUACUCCUCCUCCUCUGGCAGUAAUAUACUUUGAAGUGGAGCUGGAAGGAAGUAACUCUUUCUGAUUUUCUGGGACUGUGCCCAUGCGAGACAUCACUAAUCAAACCCAGCAUGCCUUCUUCCUGACGGAAGCUUCUCCUAGGAGUGCAGNACAGAAUUAAUGAGGAUAACCCAGUAGCUGGUCGGGUAUGCUUUUGUAGAAUCAUCAGCUACUAUGGAAAAACAAUUUGAAUAGUCAGUGUCAAAUUUUUGGUUCAGAAGUAGGUCUUCAUUUGGACCUUAGAUAAUUGGUUGGGUUACUAUAAAAACCCACUAGAGGGUGGGGAAGGGCAUUUAGGAUAGAAGAAGGCAUAGUUCAAGGGAAGGCAAGGUGAUGGGAAAGAGAAUGCUGACAGCGAUUCCUUCAUUCCCCUCAGUCCAUCCUUGAGGAUACACACACUGGGAGAAAUUUCAAAAGCAGUGUCUAGUUCUGGGGGUGGGGGGAGGGAAGUGCAGCUUUUGUGCAUGUGCUUCCAUGGGGUCUAGUGCCUCUUAGAAUUAAUUCUCUGUUCUUAUUGCAGGUUGUUUCCUAGUUUAUCUGGACCAGAAGCAC
rnacentral:lncRNA from 1 species